rnacentral:rRNA from 1 species
GACGAACGCUGGCGGCGUGCCUAAUACAUGCAAGUCGAACGCAGUGGGGACGGGUGAGUAACACGUGGGUAACCUCCCAUCAGAGGGGAGAACACUUGGAAACAGGUGCUAAACCGAUACUGAUGGAUGGAACCGCGGUGCAUUAGCUAGUUGGUGAGGUCACGGCUCACCAAGGCCACGAUGCAUAGCCGGCCGGAGAGGAUGAUCAGCAACACUGGGACUGAGACACGGCCCAGACUCCUACGGGAGGCAGCAGUAGGGAAUCUUCGGCAAUGGACGAAAGUCUGAGCGAGCAACGCCGCGUGAGUGAAGAAGGUUUUCGGGUCGUAAAUCUCUGUUGGUAGAGAAGCGGUAUCUAACCAGAAAGCCACGGCUAACUACGUGCCAGCCGCCGCGGUAAUUC